GUUAUUGAAAAGCGCAAGGCGAAGGUGCCGCCGCUACUGCUGCUGUGACCGUCGCGCACGCUGUCGUCAUCGCGGCUAAUAAGAAGAAAAAACAAUAAAGAAGAAAUAGGAGAAAAAGUGGGAGCAGCUAGCAAAAAAAGAAAUUCCUGUAACUAUAUUUUCGCUCAAUAUACUCAUUGUUUGCCAUUUCUCGAUACAUACAGACAAAUUAGAUAUACAUAUAUAAAUUAUAUAUAUAUAUAUAUAUAUAUAUAUAUGCUUGCUUCUAUCUCGUGACUUGUAAAUGUUGAGUAUAUUGACUCCUUUCUGGUCACACAAAUUAAUAUUGUGAAAAUCAACUAAUAAUUGCUAUUGAGUGUGGGCUGUAGCAAGGGACGCGCGGUUGGUCACACUAUAUAUCUGCGUGUGUGAGUGACCUCGUGUCGGUGUGUCGCGUGCUUGCGCCUGUGUGUGUGUGUGUGUGUGCGGCAGCGGCAAGGAGUGUCAUGCGUAUUUUCCUGCCUCUCCCACGACGAACGCUUCGUAUCAACAACAAGCUGAAUACGCGUUGCUCCUUUGCUCCAACGAGUUUUAUCUUGUUUUCCGUUUUAAUCAUAUGCGGGUGCUGAGAGACAAUCACGUCAUCCAGCCUAAUACACAUAUACACAUACGCACACUAUAAAGUCAUUUAUGUUAACUUUAGAGCUGAGUCGCAGCUGUGUGCGUGUAUAUUUGUGUGGGUAGGCGGUCCAUCAAUUCUAUUGUUAUUAAUAUUGUUUUUUCUUCUCAUUCAUUUUGAGCUUAAUCAAUUCAAUUAGCGUGUCCACAUACUAUAUACAUAUACAUACAUAUGUAUAUAAACAUAUAUUCCUAUAUGUCUUUCUUUCUUUCUUAUCCUUAUCAAUGGGUAACACUUUAGAAGAGUGACUUGAUGUUACACAAAUAAUAACAAAAUUACUCAAAUUCAUAUAAUAAUAAUGUUAGAGAUGUCACAAAAAUUAUGUUUGCCGCUGAUUAAUAAUUGGUCAGCAGCAUCACAUCAUCGACUUAGUUUUUGUUCCCAUUUUCGUAAGUCAGUUAGCUAGCGCAUGUGUUUGUGUGAACAGUAAAUAAAAUAUGACCGGGACACUGAGUCAUGGCUGCUCGAUGACGUUAUGCUGCGCUAAAAGGCAAUUUGUCUCGCAAGUGGUUCUAACUUUGCCAAUAAAACUGAAACUUUAUCGAACAAAAAAGAAUUAUAAUAAUGGUUUAUCAAUCGAUAUCGAGUUCGGCUGGCAAUCGAUAACAUGAGAUUAUAACUAACUAUACUAUUUUUUGUAUAAAAAAUUAAUUUUAUGCUCUCGCACACACACAUACAGCGAGCAGAGCUAAACAAUAUUGAGCUCGGCUCACAGUCUAUAACAUGAUUUGAGCUAUCGCGCUCAGGAGAAGUUGCAAAAUGUUGAACAAAAAUACAGGAUAAAUUAGUAUUGCUAUUGUAUUAUUAUGCGUUUGGCUUUAUAAGUGCGCGCGCGUCUUUUUUAUUUUUUUUUUAUAUAUUUUUUUUUUUUAGCCUAGCAGCUACCCAGCAAAAAUCAUGUUGAAACUGCUGCCAACCGCUUUCAGGCAGCUUUUCAGUGCCACUGAAGUCGCUUCCCUCCACCCCCUGCAGACGUAGCCGUAGUCCCUCUUUGUCCAUUGCUGCGAUACGUGAACGUUUUACGUUGUUGCCGACUUGUAUGUUUGUAUGAAAAUACUGCAAUGAGCUCCUUAUCUUAAUUAAGUAUGUAUGUAUGUAUGUAUGUAUGUAUGCAUGUGUGUAAAAAUAUGUGUCUAUGAGUAUGUGUGGAAUAUGCGUAUAAAUUGUGACGGAAACAUUCAGUGCGAAUGCCGCCGCAUGCACGUCGUUGCGGGGUAAACAAACUGCCGUUGCUCUGCAGCAGCUGCCGGCGUCUCAGUCGGCGUCGUUGCCUCUGCUUUUGCUGAUAACACUGCUGACAAACGAAUUUCAAUAUAAAAGUAACAGCAAAAACAAUGAGCUAAGAACAAAUCUGUACGACUUUUAUCAGUCAGCCAUGACGACGUCGCUGUCGGCGUCAGCCUGUUAAUUUUUGCUCUCCUCUUCUUUUUUUUUGCCUACUCGCUCACUUGGUGUACAACGGCCAGUUCAGUCUGCUCGCUGAUUUCGUUGCGUUACGUUUACGCUUACGUUGCUGCUGUGUUCCGUUCUGUUGUGUUCCGUGUCCGUUUUUUCGCUAUUUCUUUUGCGACGAGAAAUAAGAACAAAAGCUGGAGCUGGUUAAAUAAAGAGAAAGAGCAAAAAGAGAAGAAUCGUCAGAACAAAACACAAAAA